CCCCCGUCCCCCGCAGACUCCGUGGUGGUACCACCUUCCGUCUACCUCUUCCCACCGCCGCCGGAAGAGUUGGCCAAGGAGGAGACGGCCACCUUGACCUGCUUGGCCUCGGGCUUCCGCCCGGCGGCCAUCUUGGUCACCUGGACCCAAGAAGACCUCCCCGUUUCCCGGGAGAACUUCUCCAUCUUCGGACCUCAACAAGAUGGCGACAGCGGCGCCUACACGGUCUACAGCAAGUUGAGUAUCCCGGCUUCUGAUUGGCGGCGGGGCGACACCUUCUCCUGCGUGGUCGGCCAUGAUGGAUUCCCCUUGAACUUCGUCCAGAAGAACGUGGACAAGACCAGCGCGAAACCGGCCGCCGUCAACGUCUCGGUGGUCCUGGCGGACGCUGACGUCACCUGUUACUGA